GGAUAUGCCUACAACAUAGCAUUAAUGCACCAGGUCCCAUUAUAACUCCAUAGUUAAGCAUGCUUGGGAUAGAUUAGUACUGGGAUGGAUGACCGCAAAGAAUUCUUAGUGUUUUAAAUU
rfam:Picea glauca, whole genome shotgun sequence.